UCGAAUUUUUCGGUUAACUCUUACCCUUGCUUAGAUGGCCAUCUCUUCAGCGUAGAGUUCUCCAUAGAGGCCAAGAUAACGCGCUGUCUCCAUGACCGCGUUUCCCCCACUGUCAUAUGGUUACAAGAAACAUUUUAAGCCAAUUAAAAGCUCGCCAUUAAAGUGAUGCAAAUAUAACGACUUCAAAAUAUUCUUCCUUCGUUAUUGAAAGUGCAGAUGAACUGUCUAUUGAAAUGUAUCAAAGCUUUGAUGGACUGGAAUAAGAUGUGAAGCUCGAACGAUUUCCCAUCGACAUACGGGAAAUCCGGGACAUAUGUUUCAUUGGCCCAUACACCAUCUAAUAAUGUGUUCAAAGCAUGUUCUUCUACAAACAUUUCCCCAUAAAGGCCGAUGAAAUGACCAGUUUCCAUCAGCGC